UGGGGAAUAUUGCACAAUGGGGGAAACCCUGAUGCAGCGACGCCGCGUGAACGAAGAAGGUAUUCGUAUCGUAAAGUUCUGUCCUAUGGGAAGAUAAUGACAGUACCAUAGAAGAAAGCUCCGGCUAAAUACGUGCCAGCAGCCGCGGUAAUACGUAUGGAGCGAGCGUUGUCCGGAAUUAUUGGGCGUAAAGGGUACGCAGGCGGUUUAAUAAGUCGAACGUUAAAGAUCGGGGCUCAACCCCGUAAAGCAUUGGAAACUGAUAAACUUGAGUAGUGGAGAGGAAAGUGGAAUUCCUAGUGUAGUGGUGAAAUACGUAGAUAUUAGGAGGAAUACCAGUAGCGAAGGCGACUUUCUGGACACAAACUGACGCUGAGGUACGAAAGCGUGGGGAGCAAACAGG
rnacentral:rRNA from 1 species